ACUUGAGCGCACGCCACUGUCUAGGUUUGGAAACUCUAGCUCAGCUAGUUUCAUUGGAAAAUUAGGUCAUAAUUCAAGGUCCCCCUAUAAUUUAUUUUUUACCGCUACAAUAAGGACUUCCUGGACAAACCUAGCGAUAGCUCAAAAACUAGUCAUAAAUGUCUGGGAAAUUUUUUGAGUUCCUUAUAGGGGACACUUGAGCGCACGCCACUGUCCAGGUUUGGAAACUCUAGCUUAGCUAGUUUCAUUGGAAAAUUAGGUCAUAAUUCAAGGCCCCCCUAUAAUUUAUUUUUUACUGCUACAAUAAGGACUUCCUGGACAAACCUAGCGAUAGCUCAAAAACUAGUCAAAAAUGUUUUGGGAAUUUUUUGAGUUCCUUAUAGGGGACACUUGAGCGCACACCACUGUCCAGGUUUGGAAACUCUAGCUCAGCUAGUUUCUUUGGAAAAUAAGGUCAUUAUUCAAGGUUCCCCUAUAAUUUAUUUUUUACCGCUACAAUAAGGACUUCCUGGACAAACCUAGCGAUAGCUCGAAAACUAGUCAAAAAUGUUUUGGAAAUUUUUUGAGUUCCUUAUAGGGGACACUUGAGC